GUAUUCCGCACGCGCACACACACACACACACACGCACACCACACACACCGACCGCUGUAACGUGUGUAGCGUGAGACGAGCGUGUUGAUGAAACCUGUAGGAGACGGCUGCGCGGAAGCCGUAUGAUCUCCAAUCCGCCGACACUUCAGAAAGCCCGAGCGCCGGGAGACGGUCAUCUGCAGACUCGUUUGCGGAACGGAGCUCAAAUGUCACCAAAACAGCAUCACUAAUAAGCUCUUCAGCUUUGAACAGACAAAAGGCAAGAACCAUGCUUCCUGUUCCUCAUAAGCAAGACUUUGAAGCUGCUUUCAGCAGUUAAUUGUCACUUUGCAGGAGUUUUCAGCUUUAAUUUGCUGUAAUGAAUUGCAGUUUGAGGACGAUCGAAUGCGUCGUCAGACACGGGUUUGAUUCGCCGUCUAAACGAAACGUUCAGAUGUAGCCUGGGUAUGAUUUUCUAGAUGUUUUCUUGUAACUCGGCAGAUGUGAGAGCUGUCUCUGAACAAGGAAAACCCUCAGAAGAGAGGAUGGGUUUAUUUGACUGGGAAGAGCUCGAUACGGAAGAAUCUAUUUUUAAGUACGUGCCGUUUAACCGAGCGUCUCGGAGAGCGUUCGCGUCUGGCCUUUUCAGAAAUCUUUGGCAAAUGCAACACUUGGAUCAGAUGGAUCAGUCCCUCCAGGAUUUCCUCCAGGAUGUGAUCCUAGAAAUGUACGCAAAAAUCAAGGGAACGCCGCAAUUUUCGAUCAUGAGUGCAGCUUAAAGGUCUCAUUUACUAACAAACAUCACAGAUAGACCGUGCAAACACCAAUUCUAGUAGUUUUCCACAAAAAAGCGAAAACAGUGGCAGUUUUUAAUGACCAAACCACUACAGUGAGCUGGGGGGGGGGUAUUUAUAUCACUACAGUAUUUUAUAUAAUAUAACGUAAUUUAUAAUAAUAUAUAAUUUUAUAGGCUUAAAUUAAAUAAAAAGCUAAAAAAAUUAAGUGAGGUUUUAUUUUAGCACUUUGGUCAGUGAAACAACUCGAUAAAGCCUUGUAGUGUCAUGUUGUUGCAAUGAGAAACAGCCUGAGGGCGCUGUGGGAUACGGUAUUGUGAUUGACCCGGGGAGAAGAGACGAAGUGGAAGGAGGAUGUGGACACGGUCGCACGUUUCUCUCUCGAAUCCAAAAUGUUUCCAGAUCGCCGAUGUUACGUUUGGUUUCCCAACAAGAUCCAUCGCAGCGGAUGGAUGGCAGAAUUCGCCUGACUGGAUGUUGUAGCGCUCAAACUCGGGCCGCGCGAUUAAUCGAAUAUGGAUCUCGAUUACGAGUUUUGAUUGCCCACGAUUACAUGAACACGAUCGACUGCGAUAUCGACGUUUAAAGUUCGUCCUCCGCUCAUAUAAAACUCCGCUGGUCACCAUAGAGCGGCGCAGGGAUGACGUCAUUUUGUAACGGCAAAACCUGGAAACGAGUUAGCAUUUUAGCACUUGGUGUUUCAGAGCGCGAGGGGAAAUCGUGACCCUAACAUGCUGCUGAAUGGGACUACAGACGUUGUCGGGGACAUUAAACGUCAUCACGCCGAACAGGAAAACACUUUGCAGGUAAACUGGUUCAGGUAUAACAAUAUGUUGUCCCUAAAUUCAAUGAAUAAUCGUGAUAAAUCAUCGUGAUCUCAAUAUUGAUCAAAAAUAAUCGUGAUCAUCGUUUUGUCCAUAAUCAUGCAGAGCUAGCUCAAACCAACCCGCGCCAAACUACCAGACAUCAUCAUAUAAGACAUUUGAUUAUGAUUAUGUAGUUUGUUUACUAAUAUAAAAUCUCCCGCUAUAUGGUAGGACAUAAAUACAAAUUAAUAUAGCGACGUUGUUGUUGUUGUUAUUGUUAUUAUUAUUAUUAUUAUUAUUGUACUUGUCAUAGCGCCAUCUCAAGCAGAAACUUUAAUGUGGCGUGUGAUGUGAGACCACUGCAUGUGGCACUCCACCACCGUGGUGGCAAACUACCACUGCAGUGGUGCUGUUGCCAUGGCCACAGUCACAGCCCUACAGACUGCUGGAUCUAACACUAGAGCUGCAAGCAGCGAUUAAGGGGCCAGGCAGCGAUGGAGGAAUAGCAGAAGGCGGUUGCUGAGAUAUGCCCUCACUUCUUGUUUGGUGACUUAUGUUUCUAAGUUUUGUUUCGAAAAGUCUCGUGAUGUCACGAUCCAGAGUUCAUGACGAUCAGACGCGAAGCGCGGCAAACUCAAACUAGCCGACUUUCUGUUUGGCAAAACCAACAGUCAGCACUUUCCGGAGACCCGACGAAAAGAUGAAUCACGAGUUGAUGUACAGAAGUUUGUGAAACAUAGCGCCACCUAAAGGUGAAUUUACACAAGAAAAUUCCAAAUGGUGGAAAAAUACUGUUGUAACUGUGUUGAGCGCAGCAUAACUCAAAGAAUCACCGGAAAGUGGAAACUCCGUUUCUGUCCUUUUCACAUGAAAACCACGUGGCAACACCGGAGACUGUGUGGUCCUUGUGUUGUUGUCCAGGACACACAAGGACACGUUAACGUUUAGACGCGCGCGUCUCUGUCCACCUCUGCAUGUGGUAGGAGCGAAUCUCCUCAAUGCGUAUGACCUCGUUUACACUUGUAUUUAGUGCUGACCAAUUAAGACGCGUUAACACCUAGUGUAAUCAGGGCUCGUGUGUCAGGUCUCUUACUCCCUUGCACGAGCAUGUGCUCUCUCUAUCUUGAAGCAAAAUAUUUCUUGCUUCCCCACUUGUGUGGUAAUGAGCUGGAUGAAUAUUCAUGAAGUGAAGCAGUCACCAGAAUGUACUUCUGAAAUCCUGUGUGAUUGUGUGUGUGUGUGUGUGUGUGUGUGUGUCUCUGCAGUAGAGGAUGAUGUCUGUGAGAGCAUCUGAUUAAUGUGUGUGUGUGUGUGAGAGAGAGCGAGAGAGAUAUGGAGUUAGUGAGUCUGUAAUAGUAGGAUGCUCUUUAGGAGAGGGUCUGAUUAAGCUCUCUGUGUGUGGUGUCUAGGAGAGGGUCUGAUUAAGU
ensembl:lncRNA